UUAUCUCUUAUUACUUCUCUUCUUCUACUCAAAUCAUUAUGUUUACAAAAAUAUACAAAAAAAGACUUCUUUGUUUUCUCUUGUUAAGCUAGUAGAGCUAGCAGAGCUCGUUCCUGCAGCACAGAGUGGCAAAGACAUUGAAAGAAGUGUAGGUGAACAUUUCCGUAUUGGGUCUGAGGGCAGACUCAAUUUCAAAGAAGGUGACGUUCGGAUUCAAAAGAGGGUAAUCUUCUAUGAUGUUUUUUGGAUAGUUCCUUGGUUUUUCGCUUGUGAGGAAGAUGCUCUGGCUCUCAGGGUGUGCUUCAGAUGCCACAACCAACUUCUGAAGCUCCCAGCUAAGCCAGCUUUCGGCCAACCCAGGGGCUCCUGAAUGGUAAUUCGAUGCGGCAGAACUUUACGCCAGCUUCUCUUGCUCCAGCACAACUUCCGCCGUCUUCCUCUGAGUUGGAUUGCUCUAUGUGGUCGUGGAUGUGCCGGACUGGUGUCUGGCUUCAGUAACAGACUGGAUGGGAGCCAAGAAACUGAAGCUUAGUCCAGAGAAGACUGAGGCACUGUUAACGUCUCCCUACAUGAAUCUGCCUAGCCCCCCUGCAUUCAUUAUUUGAGGCCCUUCUUCAUGUGCCCUCCCAGAGGGAGAUGUGGAGAGCACCAACAUUAGAACGGCCCUUUUCAGUAUUAGCUCUCCAGCUGAGGAAUGCUCUUCUCUGGGAGAUUGGCCUGGUACCAUCAUUAUCAAUUUUUAGGUGCCAGAUGAAGACAGGAACCUGUUUACCUAUGCAUUUAGGUUUUAAUAGGGAUCAUAUGGUAUGCUGAUACCCUAGCCUGUUUUGGUGUUCUUCUCUUAGUAGGGUGGAGUAUGAUCCUUCCUUUUACAAUAGCGUUGGAGGAAUUCGCUUCUAAAUAAUGUUGUUUUAUGCCUUUGUUGUUUUAAAUCUUUGUUUGUAAUGU